UACGUAGGGGGCUAGCGUUGUCCGGAAUCAUUGGGCGUAAAGAGCGUGUAGGCGGCCCGGUAAGUCCGCUGUGAAAGUCGGGGGCUCAACCCUCGAAUGCCGGUGGAUACUGUCGGGCUAGAGUGCGGAAGAGGCGAGUGGAAUUCCUGGUGUAGCGGUGAAAGUGCGCAGACUAUCAGGAGGAACACCGAUUGCGAAGGCAGCUCGCUGGGACCGUAACUGACGCCUGGAGACGCGAAAGCGUGGGGAGCAAACAGG
rnacentral:rRNA from 1 species